rnacentral:rRNA from 1 species
CCUACGGGGGGCUGCAGUGGGGAAUAUUGCACAAUGGGCGCAAGCCUGAUGCAGCCAUGCUGCGUGUGUGAAGAAGGCCUUCGGGUUGUAAAGCACUUUCAGCGGGGAGGAAGGCGGUGAGGUUAAUAACCUCAUCGAUUGACGUUACCCGCAGAAGAAGCACCGGCUAACUCCGUGCCAGCAGCCGCGGUAAUACGGAGGGUGCAAGCGUUAAUCGGAAUUACUGGGCGUAAAGCGCACGCAGGCGGUCUGUCAAGUCGGAUGUGAAAUCCCCGGGCUCAACCUGGGAACUGCAUUCGGAACUGGCAGGCUAGAGUCUUGUAGAGGGGGGUAGAAUUCCAGGUGUAGCGGUGGAAUGCGUAGAGAUCUGGAGGAAUACCGGUGGCGAAGGCGGCCCCCUGGACAAAGACUGACGCUCAGGUGCGAAAGCGUGGGGAGCAAACAGGAUUAGAUACCCUUGUAGUC